rnacentral:rRNA from 1 species
CCCCUGUGAACAUACCACUUGUUGCCUCGGCGGAUCAGCCCGCUCCCGGUAAAACGGGACGGCCCGCCAGAGGACCCCUAAACUCUGUUUCUAUAUGUAACUUCUGAGUAAAACCAUAAAUAAAUCAAAACUUUCAACAACGGAUCUCUUGGUUCUGGCAUCGAUGAAGAACGCAGCAAAAUGCGAUAAGUAAUGUGAAUUGCAGAAUUCAGUGAAUCAUCGAAUCUUUGAACGCACAUUGCGCCCGCCAGUAUUCUGGCGGGCAUGCCUGUUCGAGCGUCAUUUCAACCCUCAAGCACAGCUUGGUGUUGGGACUCGCGUUAAUUCGCGUUCCCCAAAUUGAUUGGCGGUCACGUCGAGCUUCCAUAGCGUAGUAGUAAAACCCUCGUUACUGGUAAUCGUCGCGGCCACGCCGUUAAACCCCAACUUCUGAAUGUUGACCUCGGAUCAGGUAGGAAUACCCGCUGAACUUAAGCAUAUCAA